rnacentral:sRNA from 1 species
GUCAGUAACCCAGCCCUAAAGGGACUGGGCUUGUAAGAGAAAUCAAGCAAGCUGUACUGACCAGACCACCCUGAGCGGAGUCGAAGGGAGUCCACGGGUAGCCGU